rnacentral:rRNA from 1 species
GCCAGGAUGACGCUAGCGGCAGGCCUCACACACGCAAGUCGAGGGGCAGCACAGAGCGUAGCAAUACAUUCGGUCGGCGACCGGCGGACGGGUGCGUAACGCGUAUGCAACCUGCCUUGAACAGGGGGAUAAUCUGAAGAAAUUCGGUCUAAUAUUCCAUAACACUUGAAAGGGCAUCCUUUUGAGUUGAAACCUCAGGGGGUUCAAGAUGGGCAUGCGUUGUAUUAGCUGGUUGGUGGAGUAACGGUUCACCAAGGCGACGAUACAUAGGGGGACUGAGAGGUUAACCCCCCACACUGGUACUGAGACACGGACCAGACUCCUACGGGAGGCAGCAGUGAGGAAUAUUGGUCAAUGGGCGCAAGCCUGAACCAGCCAUGCCGCGUGCAGGAAGACGGCUCUAUGAGUUGUAAACUGCUUUUAUACCAGGGUAAACCCACCUACGAGUAGGUGGUUGAAAGUAUGGUAAGAAUAAGGAUCGGCUAACUCCGUGCCAGCAGCCGCGGUAAUACGGAGGAUCCGAGCGUUAUCCGGAUUUAUUGGGUUUAAAGGGUGCGUAGGCGGUUGUUUAAGUUAUAGGUGAAAUAUUCGGGCUUAACCCGGGGAUUGCCUGUGAUACUGGACGGCUAGCAAGUAGAUGCGGUAGGCGGAAUGUGUGGUGUAGCGGUGAAAUGCUUAGAUAUCACACAGAACACCGAUUGCGAAGGCAGCUUACCAAUCUACGAUGGACGCUGAGGCACGAAAGCGUGGGGAGCGGACGGGAUUAGAUACCCUGGUAGUCCGCGCGGUAAACGAAUGAUAACUCGUUGUCGGCGAUACGCGGUCGGUGACCGG